AACGCUAGCUACAGGCUUAACACAUGCAAGUCGAGGGGCAGCGGGAUUGAAGCUUGCUUCAAUUGCCGGCGACCGGCGCACGGGUGAGUAACGCGUAUCCAACCUUCCGUACACUCAGGGAUAGCCUUUCGAAAGAAAGAUUAAUACCUGAUGGUAUGAUGAGAUUGCAUGAUAGCAUCAUUAAAGAUUUAUCGGUGUACGAUGGGGAUGCGUUCCAUUAGGUAGUAGGCGGGGUAACGGCCCACCUAGCCGACGAUGGAUAGGGGUUCUGAGAGGAAGGUCCCCCACAUUGGAACUGAGACACGGUCCAAACUCCUACGGGAGGCAGCAGUGAGGAAUAUUGGUCAAUGGACGAGAGUCUGAACCAGCCAAGUAGCGUGAAGGAUGAAGGUCCUACGGAUUGUAAACUUCUUUUAUAAGGGAAUAAACCCUUCCACGUGUGGGAGCUUGUAUGUACCUUAUGAAUAAGCAUCGGCUAACUCCGUGCCAGCAGCCGCGGUAAUACGGAGGAUGCGAGCGUUAUCCGGAUUUAUUGGGUUUAAAGGGAGCGCAGACGGGUCGUUAAGUCAGCUGUGAAAGUUUGGGGCUCAACCUUAAAAUUGCAGUUGAUACUGGCGUCCUUGAGUGCGGUUGAGGUGUGCGGAAUUCGUGGUGUAGCGGUGAAAUGCUUAGAUAUCACGAAGAACUCCGAUUG
rnacentral:rRNA from 1 species